UGCAGCUAUCUCAGACAGAUCCCCAGCCAGAUGAGCAGCUACCUAAUGAUUCCUCAUUUGCUCUUUAUUGUUGGCCUGCCCCCCUUGGGAUGGGCCAUCCGUCAGCCCCCAGACAUGGUGGUCAGUCAGGGACAGCAGCUGACACUGAACUGCUCCCAAAAAUCAACCCGUUUAAUCAACAUGUACUGGUACAAGCAGGCCGUGGGGAAGGACAUAAGGCUGCACCUGGUCGUGUUUUCUACGGAAGGCUCUGGUGCAAAUGUUGAGAAGCCAUUUGAAGGUCACUUCCAGAGCAAUGGGACAAAAAACUAUGUCCUGUCUCUGACUGCAGAGAGUGCACAGGUGCAAGACUCAGGCACAUAUUACUGUGCUAAGCAAGAUCACACAUGUGUCAAUUAUCAAGCCUACUUCGGAGAAGGGACUAAACUCACCAUUCUAGAGGUUGGGCUCAAUAUCACCUCCCCCAAAGUGGCCAUCUUUCCCCCAUCAAAGCAGGAGAUCAAAGAGAAGGGGAAGGCCACUCUGGUGUGCCUGGCCAGAGAUUUCUACCCCGACCACAUCAAGCUGGUCUGGCAGGUGAAUGAUGCUGACAGGGAAGAUGGGGUGAGGACAGAUGAGUUUUCCACUUGGGAUAACACAUCAAAAUCAUACUCGCUGACCAGCCGCCUGAGGAUCUCAACCCAAGAGUGGUUCAACUCCAAGAACAGUUUCCGGUGUGCUGUGAAGUUCCACCUGGAUGAGAUCCAGUAUGAAGUGAUCAGAGGUGGAGAUGGAUGUGGCAUCACUGAAGAAUCCUACAUGCGAUCUGGCAACUCUACAAAGCUCACCUACCUGGUGCUCUUGUGGAAGGCCAUGCUCUAUGCCUUGCUGGUGAGUGCUCUGGUGUGGAGAGUCAAGGCUAGUGACAAGCUGAGCAGAGAAUAGAUUGGAACUCAUCUCCAGCACCUCAGGAGGAGCACAGCUAAAUUUUUCUACUGCCCCAGAUCCUCCAGGGAGAAGGAUUUUGCUUCUGCCUGCACACUGCCAAUAUCCAUUCCGUGGAGGGGUUUGAUGGGUAGAGUAGUUGCUCUUUAUCCAUCUCUUUCAGUAGUCACUGAUGGCUCCCCCUACCCACAGAGCUUUAAAAGCUAGAUAACUACUCAUAGUUAGGGACUGAGGGGUCUGCCCUCUGAAGCCAUAAUAAAGUCUUGGUUUCUUUUCAUUUGAAAAA